rnacentral:rRNA from 1 species
AGCGAACGCUGGCGGCAGGCUUAACACAUGCAAGUCGAACGGAUCCUUCGGGAUUAGUGGCGGACGGGUGAGUAACACGUGGGAACGUGCCUUUUGGUUCGGAACAACACAGGGAAACUUGUGCUAAUACCGGAUGUGCCCUUCGGGGAAAGAUUUAUCGCCAUUAGAGCGGCCCGCGUCUGAUUAGCUUGUUGGUGAGGUAAAGGCUCACCAAGGCUACGAUCAGUAGCUGGUCNGAGAGGAUGAUCAGCCACACUGGGACUGAGACACGGCCCAGACUCCUACGGGAGGCAGCAGGUGGGGUAAUUUUCCGUCAAGUGGGCGAAAGCCUGACGGAGCAAUGCCGCGUGGAGGUAAAA